rnacentral:pre_miRNA from 1 species
CUUGUACUCCCUCCGUCCAGAAAUACUUGUCCUUGAAAUGGAUGUAUCUAGAUGUAUUUUAGUUCUAGACACAUCCAUUUUGAUGACAAGUAAUUCCGGACGGAGGGAGUACUUG